CCCCCCCUCCCCCGCUUCCGUUUUCUCCUACAGCUGCAAAGCCCUGUCUGCCAGCCCCAGUCGAUAAUGCCGCCCAUCUCGUCGGAAAUCCCAGUCGCGCGCCAUGCGUCUAUGCCACACUGACGUUCGCGCCUCGACUCUUUCGUUCAAUGUUGCUUGGACCACGCUGCUCGGAUUUGUACGCAUCAUCGGGUUUCUUUCCCUCACCGCCGACCCCAAGUGUCGUCGAUUGAAGUCAUCUAGCCACGCCGAUUUCCUUCAUUCACCGACCUAGCCACGAACGUCCAUUCGUCCAUGCUGUUCGCAAGCUUCCAGCCGACGUCCCCCAGUUUCGACCGUUUGUUCGCCCAGAUCUGAAGUUGUCUUCGUCCGUUUGCAUCGUCGGAUCUCAUCUCUGCUGCUGCCAGCCACGUUGUCAGUCGUUUCGCCAUCAGUCUUCAUUGUUCGUCUCUGGUUGGAUUCAAAAGAUUGGGCCUUGUGAAUCGCCGUCCAGCAAGAUUUAUGAUCAUUUGGUAAGUUUAGCAAGAGUUUUGUUAAUUUUUUGGUUUGCCUUUUUGGUUUAGUGUGGGUUUAAUGUUUGGUUGGGUUUUAGAUUUUGAUUGAGACCCCUCAAAUUGGCUUGUUUCUGCAUUGAAUUUUAUAUUCGUGGUUCGAGUGAAGUGUCGAUUUGAACAAAUAUUUCAGGUAAGUGUUUUGGAUGUAUUGAUAUGAAUUUGUGAUUUUGGCUAUAUUUUAGGAUUGGAAUUAAAUUUUGAUGUUUGCUUUAGGCUCAAUUCAAGGUUCUUUUUAGGCAAGAAGAAAAAUAAAUUUGUUGAGAUUGUGCUCAAAGUAUAAGGUAAGUAUUACUACUGGAACUUCCUACGUGUCAGGCAAGAAAAUUUAAGUUUUAGAGGUUCUGAGGUUGUUUGUUUAGAGGUUCUGAGGUUGUUUGUUUAGAAUGAUGUUUACAUAUGACUUCAUGUAUUUGAGAUUUUGGGGAACUUAUUAUGCAUGAAAGAUGUUUGAAUGCCAGUAUGACUUCAGUAUUUUUGUUAUAUGAAACUCUGAUUGAUUUAUGAGUAUGAUGACGUGUAUUUACAUGUUAUGGAACUUUUUUAUAAUGCAUGUGAUGUUUACUAUAGUGAUAGUAUCCUUAACGAUAGUUAGAAACCCACCAGAGGUGGUGACCUCCUUCGGGGUUCACUAGAGGUUGUGCUUCCUACGGGAUUCACUAGAGGUGGUGCUUUCUUUGGGAUUCGCUAGAGGUUGUGUUUCCUUCGGAAUUCACUAGAGAUGUGUUUCCUUCAGGUUCAUCAGAGGUUGUAUUUCCUUCAAGAUUCACUGGAGGUUGUAGGUACUUUUACUACGGUAAGUGUAAGGACGUGUCACAUGUCAGCGACUGACAAACAAAAUCCGUGGUCGAGUUACUGGGACUAGGACAUGACACCUAAGCUUAGAGCAAGGAAGACAAUUAAAGGAGGGGUUCGGGACCCCCAGUGCAGCACCCACAAGUCCAGGACCUUCCCCCACCAGGGGUGCAGGAAGAGGGAGUCAGAGGAAGUCAGAAUGUCCCGACAGCUUUGAACCCACCUACGACUCAAGUUGAUGAGAAAGCAAUGGAAGCGAGAAUGAGGGAAGCUGUGGCAUCAUCCCUGGUGGAAAGAUUACAAUACCUUAUCCGCAGUGCAAUGGCAGGGUGGACUGCUCAGAACCAGAUUCAGCAGGAGCAGAUGCCAUUGUAGGAAUAUAUCAGCAACAACGGAAGCACAAAGAUCAUUUAAGCACUCUAAUUCAUUGAUUUUGAAAAAAAUAUAAAGCAUGCUCUUGUAGAAAACAAACCACCUCAAGAUCUUCCUCACUAUUCUCUUGGUACUCUAUAUCGAGUUGUGGGACUCAAAACAAACUUGAAUUAAGGGAUGAAGGAGAAUAGCUCACAGAAGUAAUCUUGUUAAAGAACCCUUUCUUCAACUCGAAUUUUCUCUAAAAUUCUCUCUUGAUUGCAUGCCCGAAAUUCACUCAAAACUCUUCAUUAUAUUGCAGAUCAACAUACAAGGGAGAUAGUUGCAUGGGUUGCACCUCAUGCUUGGAGUUAGACAAGGUAAAGAUGAUGGCUUUUGUGUGAGCAAGUAAA